GAUGAAGAACGCAGCGAAAUGCGAUAAGUAGUGUGAAUUGCAGAAUUCAGUGAAUCAUCGAAUCUUUGAACGCACAUUGCGCCCUAUGGUAUUCCGGGGGGCAUGCCUGUUCGAGCGUCAUUUCACCACUCAAGCCUCGCUUGGUAUUGGGCAACGCGGUCCGCCGCGUGCCUCAAAUCGACCGGCUGGGUCUUCUGUCCCCUAAGCGUUGUGGAAACUAUUCGCUAAAGGGUGUUCGGGAGGCUACGCCGUAAAACAACCCCAUUUCUAAGGUUGACCUCGGAUCAGGUAGGGAUACCCGCUGAACUUAAGCAUAUCAAUAAGCGGAGGA
rnacentral:misc_RNA from 1 species